CCCUACCUUUUUUGAUUUAAUUUUAACAUUGUUUUCCAAAAAUUUAUCAAGAGCACCUUUUUGAGAUUUUAUCAAGUUAUCGACUUUUCUUUUUCUUUUAAGUUUUGAAUGACCGGAUUCAUAUUUUCUAGUUGACAUAUUAAAAUCUAACAAAUAUUUUAAACACUAUUUACAAUAUCAAAUAAAAAAUAUAAUAAACAUAAGACACAAAACAAAAAUAAUAUUAGAAAUUAGAAUGAUAUUACCG
rnacentral:lncRNA from 1 species